CAAUUUAUUAGAAAAGAAUUCCUUAACGGAUUUUUAAAAAAAUAUACAUUUAAAUACUGAAAACGAAAGUGUGAAUGAAUGUACCAAACAGUUACAGACUGGGUACGUCCACUUCCAGUUCAGUGCUCCAUUCUAAGGUUAUGUUCACACAUUCACCGUGAGCGAUGCUACUUUUGCACGGGCCAUUGAUACGGAUGAUGCUAAUUCUACAAAGUGUAAAACAGGAUUAAGGACUGUAACUCUGGGAUUAUAAACAUCACAGAAAAGACUCGGAAAAUCUUACCGACAAGGCGGUUAUUCAGUACAGAUCACGUCAAAAACCCCGUGUGGAGCAGGAAAAGCCGUUACGGAGUUCUGCCAUUGAAGGCAGCUCCGUUCCGUUCCCGCAGUCUCUCCCCCGAGGCGCCGCACGGCGAGCUGCCAGCGGACGGAUCGCCGUGCUGCGGUAACACCGCGACGAAGCGCCGGGCUCUUCUUUAAGAAGAGAAGUAAGUUACAAUUAACUACGUGCGUUACGUAAAGUGACACGUGAGAAACCAGCUUGUGCCACCCGCGACGGGAACUCCUCGCACGGAGCCACACCACACCGAGCAUCACGAGGCGUGCUCGCCGUUCGCUGCUGCGUUGGAGGCGAUGUCUGGCUGUGCAGCUUUAUCACUGAUUGGUUCUUUCCUCCCUGAACGCGCUCCGUAAUUACCGCAGCGCAGCCGCCCCGCCCGGCCUCCCCGAGCCCGGCGAUGGCUCGCAGGACGCUCCGAGAGCCGCUCGCGGUGCCGGGCGGCCGCGCUCCCUCAGAGACGUCUCAUUUUGCAGUGAUUGCCCAAACAACGGGUCUGUGGUGGAUCUGCAGCUUCAGAGCUGGAGGUGUGAGAGUGUCUAAAAAGCAAGAAGCCAUACCUGCUGGGAGAAACACUGGGCCCAAGGGAAGGGACAAGACAAGUGUUGUCAGUAUUUCAAAAAUGCACCACGUGGAUGUCAUGCUGCGCAAAUGGAACAACAGAGAAGAUGCAAUCUCCUUUACUGCUUCCAGGCAAUCUUGCAGAAGUUAAACAAGGGGUUAACACUUAUCUGAAGAUCUGCAGAUGAAAUAGAAAACCUGUUGGACAUGGCCUCGCUGCAGAAUAGAGGGAAGAGUUCUCUGCAGGAAGAGGUAGAGCUGCCUUUGUUCUGGGACAGGUCUCCAGUUCCUGAGCUUCUGGAGUCAAAAUGAAGGAAGUGGCAGACAGCGAACCACUGCUGGUGUGCCCCGAGAGUCUUCAUCUCCAUGCUCUGCCUCUGUGAUAUCAUACAAGGCAGUUGUGCCAGAUGUUCUUGUGAGGAUGCCCUUGUUCUGUGUCGGGCUGCCCCUUGUUUCUGAGCACAGACAUGGGUCCUCUCUUCUGCUGCGCACAGAUAUUCUGAAAGAUGCUGCGUGAAAUGCAUGCAUAGAUAGAAAAUGUUCUAGAAUAGUCUGGCGCUGUAGUAAUUAUUUGGCAGUUGAACUCAGAUUUAGUUUUUCAUGAUGAAUUAAACAUGAACAUAAAUCAUAGUUUGCUCAGCAUAGUUUGCUCAGUAAAUGUUUUGUACUGUCCCUACAUUUUCCUUCUUUGGUGUGAGGAAGAUUAAUCUUUUUGGUAAUUAUAUGAAACUAUGUUGUUGAAUGGUAUGUAGAGAAGCUGAGCUGUUUGGCCGGGAUGCAGGGAAUGGCUGAAGCAUCGGGUGCUUGGGAUGUAAAAGGCAAACAGUUUGAGUUUGGGAAGGAAAAGCACAUCAUAUUCUACUAACGUUAUUGAGGUUGUGCUCAUCAUGGUGGCACGCAGACUGCCACUGCUAAAACUCUGUCUGCACCUAUAAAAAACAUCACUUUAAAGCCAUUAAUGUGAGAUGGUUUCAAUGUACUGGUGACUUACUGGAGAUAAUGCUCUGUAGUGGUUACCUUGAUACAGCCCAUCGGGGUUACCACAGCUGCACCAGAGGAAAAAUAUCUGUACCUCAUUUCCAGUAGGAUUUGGCACCAGCAGUGCAGUUACAACUCACCACUUGUGGUAUAACAUUCCUCCCCACUCUUGGAAUUAAGAGAUCUUAAUUUCAGCAUUAAAAGCCGGCUAGCUUGACUACUGAGCUACUCCAAUUCACAGACUCUGAGUUACGCUGAGAUCUCAUCACCAGGUACAUUCUAUCUAUUUGGUGUUCAGUUCAAGAUGUCCUACUUUAAAAGCAUGAGGUGAAUGCUGAGAUUUUGAAGUAGAAUUCUCCAGUUGUGAAAUAAGAGAUUACUAAGUAACAAUUAAAGCAUUACUUGAGGAACACAGCUGAAUUAUUUAUACAGGCUAAAGCUCCGAGGGCCCUUGAUGGUGGGUUAGAAGCGGACACCCAAGUUGCCUUCAGCCAUCCGUAUGUCCUUUGGGCUGGGAGCCUCGCUCCUGUGACACGUUCCUCAUCAAGCGCAGCUUGGUUUAUCCCUGCAGUUGUCAAAACCACUGCAUUGAGGUGAA